UGGUUGGAAAAGAAAUAAUCUGUCUUAAUUGAAAAUAUUGAAUUUAACUUUUAAGUGAAAAGGCUUAAAUAAUUUGGGGGGACGAUAAGACCCUAUAAAACUUUAUAUUUAGGGGUAAUAGUUAAUUUUGUUUUAUUUUAUUAUUUAAAAGUAUUUGGUUGGGGCGACGGGGAUAUAAUAUAUAAUAACUGUUCUUAUUUAUAACAAUGCUAUUUGGUUUUAUGGUCCUGAUAAUGGAUUAAAGAUUAAGUUACUUUAGGGAUAACAGCGUAAUUUUUUUUAAGAGUUCUUAUCGACAAAAAAGUUUGCGACCUCGCAUGUUGAAUUAAU
rnacentral:rRNA from 1 species